GAUGAGCUCAUCGAGAGACACACACACACACACACACACACGGACGGACGGAGCUGAAGACAGAAGGACACUGACUGAACACAAAAAUGGUUUGGUCCCGGGACACAGAGGCGGAGAAACCCCCGCUGUCCGUCAUCCUGCCUCAGCUUUACCUGGGAGCAGAGAGAGACGUGACGCAGGAGCGGCUGGCCUCUCUGGGUAUCUCGUGCGUGCUGAGCGUGAGCCGCUGCAGUCCCGAGCCUUCGUUCCUGCCUCGCUCCAGAUUUCUGCGCAUUCCAAUUGACGACUCUCUGUGUGACGAUCUGUUGCCAUGGAUACCACAGGCUCUGCACUUCAUCGACGCAGCCGUGUCGUCCGGAGCCUCAGUGCUGGUUCACUGUGCAGCAGGGAUCUCCCGCUCCCCUGCACUGGCUGUUGCCUACAUCAUGUACAGUCUGGACCUGGACCUGGACCAGGCCUACAGAUUUGUGAAAGAGCGUCGGCCCUCCAUUUCCCCAAACUUCAACUUCCUGGGUCAGCUGCAGCACUUCCAGGCCACGCUGUGCCACAGCGCCUCCAGUGGCCACUCCGUCCUCCAGCAGCCGGACACUUGUCUGUCUUCCUCCGCUGACAGCGACGACCACUGUGGUCAGAAGAUGAACCUUCAGGCUGAAUCUCUCACUGGAAACACAACACACACACACAGCUUUCACAGCAGAGACGACACACAACACACACACAGACACACACGCGCUGAUGGAAACCAGCACCUGUCAGUGUCAGGGAAACUUCAGACUCUUCAUCUGACUCUUCAUCAGCAGCAGGUUCAGACGCCGUACAAGGAUCAGGCUCCGAGUCCCUGUGAUCCUGUCAAACCUGCACCAAAGCCCACGCAACUACAACUCCCAUCAGGCUCUGCUUCUCUGGCAGAGAAACGCAAAAGCCUCACUCUGUCUUUGACUCCUUUGGUAAGCAGCAGCAGCAGCAGCAGCAGCAGCGAGGCAGGAGGGAAAACCCACCACCACGGGUGGAGUUCCUCCUACCGCAGGUGCAGCAGAGACGAGGAGCAGGCGCAGGAGCAGCGGGCGCUGUCGCCUUUCAGCUGUACCCUCAACAAGCUGCUGGACUGGGGGGAGAGAGUUCUGCUGGGAGGACUGUUCCUCCCUCCUGUGCGGAUGGGACAGGCCACCCUGCCGUACAGGUGCUGAGGCCGCUCCCCCGCCUGUACAGGUGCUGAGGCCGCUCCCCCGCUUGUUCAGGUGCUGAGGCCGCUCCCCCGCCUGUACAGGUGCUGAGGCCGCUCCCCCGCCUGUACAGGUGCUGAGGCCGCUCCCCCGCCUGUACAGGUGCUGAGGCCGCUCCCCCACCUGUACAGGUGCAACUGUCUCAUGAUUCUAAUCAUAGGGUUGGUUUGAUUAGUCUCAGCUGUAGAAUGUGCACAUCCUAUAUUAAAGAUACCAUGAGUCACAUUUAGGAGGGUUUAUUGGCAGACAUUGAACAUAUGUUUGUAUAAGUGUAACUUUAAGUAUAAUAAUCCUUUAAAGACGCUGGGCAGAAACCCUAACCCUGUAAAACACAUUGACAGCAGAAAUAAAUAUGUUCAGAGCAUUUAA